rnacentral:lncRNA from 1 species
ACCCCCUCCGCAUCUGCCGCCUACAUCACUCGGUCCGGUACUGUUUUAAGCACUGCCUGUACGACGUGAAACCGGGCAUGAAUAUAACCUGUAUUCGCGGCCUCAUGCAUUGCCUUUGUCCGCAUCUGAGCAUUGGGGGUCUGGCACGCAGCACCGGGAGAUUUCAACCUCUGGGGCAUCGCCACUGGGGCUAGGUCGGUUGAAGUGGUCGUCUUCGUACCAGAGGAGAAGAAUGGUCUGCUGGAUUCAUGCUACGGCACGCUGUCGGGUCCAGACCAAGAACGACACUUCAGUUGCGAUGACCACGGAGGGAAGUCAUCCACGGUCACGUUGAAGGGGCUCGAACCGGCGACAGAGUACAACUGCACCGUCACAUUCGUCAACGAGCUGGACGACUGUGACGAAGCAGCCACAACAAAGUCUAUCGUAAUAAAGACGCAGGCUGAACCGACGGAACCAGAUCCAAGCUGCACCACUAGGCCCAACCAAGCUGAAGCCGCUGCUGGCAUGGUUUUUUUACCGACGCCUAAAGUGGUCAUUCUCUCCAUGUCUUCACUUGUCGUUCUGUUGCAGCGACACUUCAACAACUAUUGUAUGAACCGCGGUUGAGAUUGAACAGCCGUUUCAGAAAUACCCACCCAAUAUAGGUUGAAAACUAAGCAAAUUACGCACAAUGGGUGUGCAAGACGCUCAAGAAGGUAACAUAUGUGAUUCAUUUUGUUACAAAAUAAGUGGCCUACAGUAUAAUCAGUACUUGUUUUUUGUA